CGAAAGCCUGACGGAGCAAUACCGCGUGAGGGAUGAAGGAUUUUGGUCUGUAAACCUCUUUUCUCAAGAAAGAAGUUCUGACGGUACUUGAGGAAUAAGCGUCGGCUAACUCCGUGCCAGCAGCCGCGGUAAUACGGGGGAUGCAAGCGUUAUCCGGAAUGAUUGGGCGUAAAGCGCCUGUAGGUUGUUUAUUAAGUCCGUUGUUAAAGCCUAGGGCUUAACCCUAGAAAAGCAAUGGAAACUAGUAGACUAGAGUAUGGCAGGGGUAGAGGGAAUUUCUAGUGUAGCGGUGAAAUGCGUAGAUAUUAGGAAGAACACCAAUGGCGAAAGCACUCUACUGGGCCAUAACUGACACUAAGAGACGACAGCUAGGGGAGCAAAUG
rnacentral:rRNA from 1 species